rfam:Dipodomys ordii contig_6410, whole genome shotgun sequence.
GGUGGCUCAGUGGUAGAGUGCUUGCCUUGCAUGUGUGAGGCCCUGGGUUCGAUUCCCCAGCACCA